rfam:Zootermopsis nevadensis contig21617, whole genome shotgun sequence.
UGGUCUAGCGGUUAAAACGCUGGCCUUGUAAUCCUGGGGUCUCGGGUUCGAUUCCCGG